rnacentral:rRNA from 1 species
CCUACGGGGAGGCAGCAGUGGGGAAUAUUGCGCUAUGGGCGAAAGCCUGACGCAGCGACGCCGCGUGAGGGAUGAAGGUCUUCGGAUCGUAAACCUCUGUCAGCAGGGAAGAACGGUCACUGUGCUAAUCAGCAGUGAAUUGACGGUACCUGCAAAGGAAGCACCGGCUAACUCCGUGCCAGCAGCCGCGGUAAUACGGGGGGUGCGAGCGUUAAUCGGCAGUCCUGGGGGUAGGGCGGCCGUAGGCGGUAGGGCAAGUCAAGGGGAAAAUCCCCGGGCGCAACGGGGGAGCUGCGUUGGGAACGGGCAAACUGGGGGGUGUGGGAGGAUAGUGGAAUUGCGGGGGUAGGAGUGA